GUGAGGAAUAAGCCACCGAAAGGUGGUCUAAUACUUCAUAAUAUCCAUCUCGUAUGGAUUAAAGCUUUAUGCGCUUUGGGAGGGGCCUGCGUAACAUUAGCUUGUUGGUGAGGUAAAAGCUCACCAAGGCUUCGAUGUUUAACUGGUUUGAGAGGAUGACCAGUCACACUGGGACUGAGAUACGGCCCAGACUCCUACGGGAGGCAGCAGUAAGGAAUCUUCCACAAUGGGGCAACCCUGAUGGAGCAAUACCGCGUGCAGGAUGAAGCGUUUCGGCGUGUAAACUGCUUUUAUCACCGAAGAUUAUGACUGUAGGUGAAGAAUAAGGACCGGCUAACUACGUG
rnacentral:rRNA from 1 species